AUAUACUGUGAAGCAGUAGUCAGAACACACACCCAGCUCAUUAAAUGGAUGUCUGCAAGAGGAUCAUGAGUGAACAGCACAAAUUAUUCUUACAGCAUGGUUUUGAACAAUGAAGACUUUAAGAAAGAAAGUGGCUGCAGUGCUGGGUACAGCAAGACUUUUUAAUUUACCGCCCUUCAACAAAUCAUCACAAGAAUAGAUGUGCAGUCUUCAUGGGACACUUGAAAACUGCACAAGUCUCGUUUAUCACGCAUAAAAAGAAGUGUUUCUGUGACAAUGUGAAGAACAACAAACAUGCAGAACUAUGCUGUAACAUUUAUUUUAUCUAAUAUCAAAGAAUAAACACAUUAAUGUAAACAAAAGAAUUUAAUUACAUUAUUUUCCAACUUUUCCAA